rnacentral:lncRNA from 1 species
ACAGAGCUGCCGUAUGAUCCACCAAUCCUACUUCCUGGAUAUGUCAGAAGUCUUGAAAUUGGGAUCUUGAAGGGGAAUCCAAACAUCUUUAUCCAGGGCAGCACUAGCUAUGAAAGCCCAAAUACAGAAGCAAUCUAAGAGUCUGUUGAAAGCAGGCAUUCUAACUGGGAUGAAGCACUAUAUCACUUUGCCAAGUGUCCGAGCCGGCCGGCCAUCUGUAUGUUCUCUAACAUGGACAUCUGUUCCUGAUAUGUAUACGCAGGGCCAGUUUGAUGCCCCACUCUCCAAACCGAAAGCCCUGUUCUUUCUUUCUCUUGACUGAUAGCCACUGCCAGGGUUUCUACCACUGCGGCCAACAGAAAAGUGUUCUAUGCCAAUAAAUAGUCUCCCACGCAUGGAAACAGAGAGCCCUGGCUUCUGCCUGCCCUCAGAGUGAGCAGCCGUCACACCUGUCCAGCCUUGUGUUUUCUGAGGGCUGUAGCAGUAUGCUAUGGCCCCAGGUCUCGGUUUCAUUGCGGUGAAUGGAAUGGAGAAGACAUCUUGCCAGCCAGAACACAUUAAAGGUUCACCGCAGAUGCCCCCAAACCACUGCUGUGUUUCCCAUUAAGGACAGACUAGUUUAGACUCCCGAAUGUUUCCAGGAAUGUAGGAGGUUUUGAUCUGUUGUUCUUUCCACCCCAUUGUUUCAAAGCUCCAGUUAAAGAGGGCCACAUGUACUGCUCCCAAGGCAUGAAGGGAGCUAGAAAUUGAAUGAUUUGGGAUAGUCUGAUUCUCUUUAAAACAUUUUUUUUUUACAAGUAAGUGGUAUGUAGACACCAUUUUAAAUAUAUUCUUUCUGGUGAUCCAAGACUCCACACUUGAUUCUAAUUGGCAAGGGAUUUGUCAUUCUAUACCUCUUCUGUCUAUAGAUCUCUUCUUUGCUUUAUGAAAUAGUAUACCUCCCCAGACUCAUUUUAUUUUAUUUUUUAAGAAUUAUUUGUUUAUUUUAUGCAUAUGAGUAUACUAGCUGUCUUCAGACACACAAGAAGAGGGCUUUCAGAUCCCAUUACAGAUGGUUGUGAGUCACCAUGUGGUUGAUGGGAAUUGAACUCAGGACCUCUGGAAGAGCAGUCAGUGCUCUAAACCGCUGAGCCAUCUCUCCAGCCCCAUUUUAUUUUUUAGUAUGUUGUAUGUAUAUGCAUGUUUUAUGUAUGUAUAUUUAGUAUGUUGUAGUCAUAUGUCAUAAUUCACACAUUUAAAGUAGACUAUGGAGCUUGAUAGCUCAGUUGGUAAAGUGCUUGCCACACAAGCUCGAGGUCUUGCUAGGCCUAGAAGCUCCCGUCUGGAAUCCCAGCUCUGGAGAGGCAGUGAUUGCAGACGCCUGGGCCCACAAGCAGGCAUGGCCCAGGCCAGUGAGAAAGCAUGUAUCAAAUACAAGGUGAAUGGUGUCUGGUGAAAGGCUGUCCUCUGGCCUCCACGGGCAUGAGCACACAUGUACAUGCAUGCUCAAAUAGACACGUAUGCACAUACACGAGAACACACAUGAGUGGAAAACUCAGUGUCUUUUCAGCACAGUCACAGAACUGUACGACCGUCAGUGGCAUUGGUUUAGAACAUCCACAUCACUGUAAGAAGGAAAGCAUAGCAAAUUCAGAGCCCAGGUCUCAGUCGUUAAUAGAAGAGUGUAGGAGUCUUUGGGAAGACUGGAUGAUUCUGGAACUGAACCUGGGAUUACAUAGAUGAGAUGAGAGUACUUUUGAAUCAACAACUAAGUAAAGAAGUUCUUAAAAAACUGACCAAAAUACCUAAAAUACCAACACCACAUUCAUGGGGCCUCAUUAAAGAGAACCAGGGGCCAGCUGCCAUUGGACUGUUGGUAGCUUCUUGUGGAAGAGGUUUCUUUAAGGGUGCAGCCCCUGGUAAGUCUCACACACACACACACACACACACACACACACACACACACACAGAGAGACACAGAGAGAGAGAGAGAGAGAGAGAGAGAGAGAGAGAGAGAGAGAGAACAAGGUUUGGGAGUAGUUGGGUGCUGUGGAUCUGGGAGGAGUUAGGGAAUGUGUGUGGGUUGAAUAUGGUCAAAUACACUGUAUGCAUGGGUUUGAAAUUCUCAAGGAAUUAAUAAAAAUAUAUUAAAAAGAGAAAUAGCUCUCAAAUGCCCAGAGCUGGAAAUUUAAGCAAUAAAAUAAAGCAGUACUGGUUCAUAACUGAAGAUCAAAUAAACGCAUAAGGAUCCAUAAUGAUAUGAAUUAGUGACUCAUUAAAAUAGGAAUCGAGAGAAAGAAAAAAAAAAAACAAAUCUCUGCUACAAAAGAAUUCGAAACAGCUUGCAGUUUUAAGAAUUUCUAUCUCAGCCGGGCGUGGUGGCGCACGCCUUUAAUCCCAGCACUUGGGAGGCAGAGGCAGGCGGAUUUCUGAGUUCGAGGCCAGCUUGGUCUACAGAGUGAGUUCCAGGACAGCCAGGGCUACACAGAGAAACCCUGUCUCAAAAACCAAAAAAAAAAAAAAAAAAAAAAGAAUUUCUAUCUCUUCAUUAGUAUUCUCUACUUCAUUAGAUAUUGUUGUCAGACCGUUUUGAUUUUUAGAACAUAUUUUCCUGGGUGUUUUGAAGUCUCUGUCGUCAGCCCCAGUAGCCUGCCCUCUUCCAGGAGCUUUCUGCGGCUGGAUGUUUCCUCUGUGCAUAGGUCUCUCACUUCCUUGCGUUCCUUCCACAGCUCAAUAUUUGUUAAAUGGUUUUAGAUACAAUGUCGCAGCCGUUGUCCGCCCUGGUCUCUUUUCCCUCUCUGAGGUUUAUUUUGGCUCUUGUCUACUGAAUCAUUUGCGUGGUUCAUUUUACAGUUGUUUCCUACCUUGGGAGGCUCAGGGUAUAGUCAGAGGAUGGUGACUGGGUUGUAUACAAGGUCACUUUAGGGUGGCCGCAGCUUGCCCAGUGCUCUACUGUGGGCCAUCCCCUAUCCUGUCUGUCCCUCCUGGGCUCUCAUCGCUCUUAGCCUUUCUCUAAUUCCUGGCGGAUGGACACAAUGUUGUUUUCAGCACAGUCUGGUGUGUAGUUGCUUCCUAGUCUGUCUAAUCCUGUUGAGUCCGGUCACCUUGGUGGGGUAG